GAAGACGCGCAUCAUCCCGCGCCACCUGCAGCUGGCCAUCCGCAACGACGAGGAGCUCAACAAGCUGCUGGGCAAGGUGACGAUCGCGCAGGGCGGCGUCCUGCCCAACAUCCAGGCCGUGCUGCUGCCCAAGAAGACCGAGAGCCACCACAAGGCCAAGGGGAAGUAGACUUUCUGAGUUUACAACAGCCUUCUCGAACCAAAGGCUCUUUUCAGAGCCACCCACUGGAUCAUCAAAAGGAGCUGGGCUUCCAAAUCGCUGUCCUGCCUUCCAUGAUACUGGAGAUCCCCACCCACCAACCUUAACUCACCUCUGAACACCAAGUGGUCACCUCUGAGAGAAGCCUUCACUUCACCUACAUAUGCAUCAACUGAUACUCACUUUUCCCUGAGCCAGCAUACUGUUGAAGUCUUGACAUUGUGAUUAUUCAUAUGGUUUUGAUUGAUUUAUUCAACGGACCCAUCAGGAAAAAUCAAAAAAUGUAUGUAAAUUUUUAAGUGACAUUGUUUGAGUCCACUUGUUCACUGAG